rnacentral:lncRNA from 1 species
GCAGACAGCAACUCUUUUGGGGAUUAACUACCCAUGAUCACACCCGCCUUCAAAAGAGGAAUCCGAACUUGAGCGCUGACUGGCUCAGGCUGGCUUGCUCCUGAGCUCACGAUCUGAACCACGGGUACCAGAAAGGGUCUUUGUCUCUUCCUAGGUCCCUAUUUGUGUGUCUUGAGUGACUUUCCUGAGAAGACAUGAACAAAUGUCUAUUUGUGCCAUGUGGGACAGCAGUCACAGACUAAAGAAACAGGGCCAUCAAUAUCUGACUUGGAAGCCCAGCUAGACUGAUGAACCAAUGAGGUUUUGCCAAACAUCGCAGCCCAGCAUGGACAACACCUCACAGAGAAUUCACAUCCCGAGAGCCCCGACACAGCCAGCAGACUGCUCCAUGGAACAGGAACAGUUCACUUUGAAGGAAAUAGCUACACAAUGCUAUGUUGCCACCAUGUUGAUUCUCAGCUUCUCCAAGCCCACCCACCACAACCACUAACUUUCAGACUAUUGGAUACAUUAAAGGUACUUAUGCACACAUUGGCCUUCUGCUAUUACUUCUAAACCUAGCCAUGUCUGCCUGUCUGUCUCUUUGAC